rnacentral:rRNA from 1 species
AUUGAACGCUGGCGGCAGGCCUAACACAUGCAAGUCGAGCGGAUGAAGGGUGCUUUCUCCUGGAUUCAGCGGCGGACGGGUGAGUAAUGCCUAGGAAUCUGCCUGGUAGUGCUGUAUAACGUCCUGAAACGGGCGCUACUACCGCCUACGUCCUGCUGGAGCAGCUUGGUGAUCUUCGGACCUCACGCUCUCAGAUGAGCCUAGGUGGGGUUAGCUGGUUGGUGGGUUAAAUGCCUACCAAGCCGACGAUCGGUGACUGGUCUGAGAGGGUGGUCAGUCACACUGGAACUGAGACACCGUCCAGAGGCCUGAGGGAGGCAGCAGUGGGGAAUAGUGGGCAAUGGGGGGAAGCCUGACCCAGCGAGGGCGAGUGUGUGGAGAAGGUGCUCGGAUUGGGAAGCACUUUUAGGGGGGAGGAAGGGCAGUAAGUUAAUACCUUGCUGGUGUGACGGUACCAACAGAAGAAGCACCGGCUAACUACGUG